rnacentral:rRNA from 1 species
UACGGGGGGAGCAAGCGUUGUUCGGAUUUACUGGGCGUAAAGGGCGCGUAGGCGGUCAGCACAAGUCAGUUGUGAAAUCUCCGAGCUUAACUCGGAAAGGUCAACUGAUACUGUGCGACUAGAGUGCGGAAGGGGCAACUGGAAUUCUUGGUGUAGCGGUGAAAUGCGUAGAUAUCAAGAGGAACACCUAUUGCGAAGGCAGCUCGCUGGGACGUUACUGACGCUGAGACGCGAAAGCGUGGGGAGCAAACAGG